UGACCGGUUGCCAAAAAUGAUUCUUGGUUUGGGUCCAAGAGGUCCCCGGUUCAAAUCCGGGCCGGCCCACCA
rnacentral:tRNA from 1 species